CUCUGGUCAUCUCUCUCGAUUUCUAUCCUAGGAGAUUACAGGAAUGCAUAGGGGUGCCAGUAAUAUCUCAUGGGACUCUCCUUUUAGCAUCUGGUGGGAGUGAAGGAAGCUGCCCAGAGGAUGUAGAUGACUAACCAGGGGUGAACGAAAGCAGCCACUCCGGACCAUUGUUUCGGCAUUGACACUUUGUGUUGUCACCUCAAAGCAGUUUUGAAGUCGCCUCCACUUGGGCCCUGGUCUCCAACUCAUAAUCAGUUACCAUUAUUGGCUUGGGGUGUCCAUACUUGGUGCUUUGGAUAAUUCAUAGAUUAGAACAUUGAAUCAUUAAAUCAGCUAAUAACAUUGCUCUAGUUUUUACUCAAAGACUUUCUAUUUACCCCCCCACCUUUUCUGCAUUGUUAAGCAGUUUUGCAGAAACCAUAGUUCUAUUAAGCAUCUGACACAACUUUAUUCAAACUUUUUUCACAUCAAAAGGUAGAAGUUAUUCCCCCUCCUCUUGACUCUUGUCUACCCUUGUUUUUUGCUUUGACUAAUGAAUGAGGCAAAAGUGAUUCUUUGCCAGUUCUGGACCUAGCCUUUAAGAGGACUGGAUGUAUUUUCUUUCUCCCUGUUGGAAAAUUAGGGAAGUCCAACUAUUCUGAGACCAUAAUUAUGGGAAAGAUCCCAAGCUAACCUCACGGAGAUCCAUUGCUAAGGAACACUUUCUACAUGAUUGAAGCCUUCUUGGAACUGAAUGCUGCCAAACUAGUGAUCCACGCAGGCAUCAUGUGGAAGAAUACAAGAGUCCAACUGUGUCCUGUCAAUGAGAAAAUUGUAAGAAAUAUCAAAAUGUUUUUUGUUUAAUGGGUCUAAGAUUUUUCUUUUAUUUAUUUAUUUUUUUAACUUUUAAGCUCAGGGGUACAUGUACAGGGUGUGCAGGUUUGUUGCAUAGGUAAAGCUAUGUCAUAUGGGUUUGUAUACAGAUUGUCUCAUCACCUAGGUAUUAAGCCUAGUAUUCAUUAGUUAUUUUUCCUACUCCUCCCACCUUACACCCUCCAAUAGGCCCCAGUGUGUAUUGUUCCCCUCUAUGUGUCCAUGAGUUUUCAUUAUUUAGUUCCCACUUACGAGAACAGGCCAUAUUUGGUUUUCUGUUCCUACAUUCGUUUGAUAAGAAUAACGAUGUUUUUGUUUUAAACCAAUGUGUUUUGGGGUGUUGUGCUGUAACAAAUAAGUGAUAAAUCAUUUUGAUAGUAUCCAACAAUCACUCUUAGUAAACCUUUUGCUUAUAGUAAUCUAAACAUUUUUAUAUGUAUAAUGUAAUGAGUUUUCCUUUAAAAAAACAAUUUAUUGUGAUGUCCAGAUGCCUUCUAAUUAACAUGAGAAAAACAAGAAACACUCACUGUCACCAUGAGUAUUUAAUGUUAUAGUAGACUGUAGUUCACACAAACAGAUGCUUAAUAGAAGACAGAGUGGCAGGACUAUGAAAGAGAAUCAUCUAUUAUUAUUAAUUAAUUCUAUGACUGUUUAUCAAAAGAUAAUUUUAAAAUUAAACCAAGGAGAAAAGGUCAACAAAUUAAAAUAAAUCCCCAAUUACAAAUUAAAAAAUAAAUCGUCUCAUUCAGAAUAUACCAAAUCAAUGAAACCUUAAGGAAAUCAUUCACUAGCAUGAACAAAUAUGGGAUAAAACAUGUUGUUGAUAAAGACAGAAAUACAUUUUUAUUUUAAAUUUACUUUAUAAAGCUAGUCAAUUAAAAUAUUCACAGUUAUUUGUGUUUGCUUGUUUGUUUGUAAUGUGGUGGACAUAGGGCUCCAGAGAGUGAUUCUAAAAUUUUUCUAAGAGGGAAAAAAUAAAAUAUACAAGAGAAACUACUCUUGAAAUCAUUAAAAAUUAUUGAAAGUAAAAUAGUGGGCUCAAUCAAAUAGUAACUCAAGCAAAUGACUGUGGUAUUGAAAUACCAAUUAAAAGACAACUCAAAUGCCAACAACUAGGUCCUAAUUAUAAAAAUUUGGUAUAGAAUAUAUAGCAUAAAAACAAAAGAAGACUAUGUAUUCUACUGUGUUGAGAUACGAGUUUUAAAAUACUAAAAACUCAUUAGAAACUCAAAUUAUUGUAUUCAAAGCUAUAUUGUAUCUUCCAUAUAGUGUUAAAUAUAAAAAAUUUAAAACAAUACAAUAUUUAAAUAUAAAAAUAAAAUAAAAUAUAAAAUAUAUGUAUAUAAAUAUACAUAUUUUUAUAUAAAAAUAAAAAAAUUAUAAAAAAGGAAGAAAGUUUAGGGCCUAUUUCUAUUGAUCUACACACUCAAAAAAUGAAAAUUCAAAUGAAGCAUGCAUUGAGAAAAUAAUUAAAGGACUUUCAAUCUGGUUAUGACAUAAAAUGUCAUUAAAAGUUGUUAUUCUCACACUAUCCAUGAGAUCAGUCUGGAUAAUCUAUAAAAUCUUAGUUUGUUUUACAUCCAUUAAAGCAGUGCUGUCCAAUAUAAUUUUCAGUAAUAAAGAAACUGUUUUAUAUCUGCACUGUUCAAUAGAAUAGUCUCUAGCACAAUGGUUGAACUAAUUUACACUCCCACCAACAGUGUAAAAGUGUUCCUAUUUCUCCACAUCCUCUCCAGCAUCUGUUGUUUCCUGACUGAAAAAAAAAAAAAGACAGUGGUCCUGUAAGAUUAUCAUGGAGCACAUAUAAAAACCUGAUAUAUCGAACUUGAUAUUGGCAUUUCAGAUCAGGUAGGGGAAAUAAUUGAUAUUCAAUAUUCAGUAAUGAUGUUGGGACAUUUGGUUUUUC
rnacentral:lncRNA from 1 species